UACGAAGGGGGCUAGCGUUGCUCGGAAUCACUGGGCGUAAAGGGUGCGUAGGCGGGUCUUUAAGUCAGGGGGGAAAUCCUGGAGCUCAACUCCAGAACUGCCUUUGAUACUGAGGAUCUUGAGUUCGGGAGAGGUGAGUGGAACUGCGAGUGUAGAGGUGAAAUUCGUAGAUAUUCGCAAGAACACCAGCGGCGAAGGCGGCGCUCUGGGCCGGUACUGACGCUGAGGAGCGAAAGCGUGGGUAGCAAACAGG
rnacentral:rRNA from 1 species